rnacentral:rRNA from 1 species
AACCCGAGACUCAGCGAAGUUGAAAUGUUUGUGAAGAUGCAAUCUCCCCGCUGCUAGACGGAAAGACCCCGUGAACCUUUACUGUAGCUUUGCAUUGGACUUUGAACAGGCUUGUGUAGGAUAGGUGGGAGGCUUUGAAGCUGAGACGCCAGUUUCAGUGGAGCCGUCCUUGAAAUACCACCCUGGUGUGUUUGAGGUUCUAACCUGGGUCCAUCAUCUGGAUCGGGGACCGUGCAUGGUAGGCAGUUUGACUGGGGCGGUCUCCUCCCAAAGUGUAACGGAGGAGUUCGAAGGUUACC